CGGGCGGCCGUGACCCUGCUGGAGUCCGGGGGGGACCUCCAGCCCCCCAGGGGGGUCCCUGCGCCUCCUCUGCCGCGCCUCCGGCUUCGAUUUUGGGAGGUACGACAUGGGCUGGGUCCGCCAGAGGCCCGGGCAGGCCAUGGAAUACAUCGCGAGUAUCAGCAGCACUGGCAUCACCGAGUACGCGCCAUCACUCAAGGACCGGUUCAGGAUCUCCAGGGACAACGGGCAGAGCUCGGUGACGCUGACCAUGAGCAGCCUCAAGCACGAGGAUUCCGCCGUCUAUUUCUGCACCAAAUCUGCUUCUCCUGCUAGUUGGAGUGCAGUUUUUUUUGUAGGUUAUAUUGACGACACCGGUGCUGUCCCCGUCCCCAUCUGCGAGUCCCCCCGUCCCCAGAGCGCAGCCCCUUCCCCCAAGCCCAGCCCCAGCCCCAGCUCUUGGCCAUUGAUCCCAGCCUGGCCCUGGCUCCGCCCCACUUCUCACCCGCCCACCCCAAACCACAGCUCCUGA